GUCGAACGGACGAUGAAGAGCUUGCUCUUCAGAGUUAGUGGCGGACGGGUGCGUAACGCGUGGGUAACCUGCCUCAUACAGGGGGAUAGCAGCUGGAAACGGCUGAUAAAACCGCAUAAGCACACAGCAUCGCACGAUGCAGUGUGAAAAACUCCGGUGGUAUGAGAUGGACCCGCGUCUGAUUAGCUGGUUGGUGAGGUAACGGCCCACCAAGGCGACGAUCAGUAGCCGGCCUGAGAGGGUGACCGGCCACAUUGGGACUGAGACACGGCCCAAACUCCUACGGGAGGCAGCAGUGGGGAAUAUUGCACAAUGGGGGAAACCCUGAUGCAGCGACGCCGCGUGAAGGAAGAAGUAUCUCGGUAUGUAAACUUCUAUCAGCAGGGAAGAUAAUGACGGUACCUGACUAAGAAGCCCCGGCUAACUACGUGUCAGCAGCCGCGGUAAUACGUAGGGGGCAAGCGUUAUCCGGAUUUACUGGGUGUAAAGGGAGCGUAGGCGGGAUCGCAAGUCAGAUGUGAAAACUAUGGGCUUAACCCAUAAACUGCAUUUGAAACUGUGGUUCUUGAGUGAAGUAGAGGUAAGCGGAAUUCCUAGUGUAGCGGUGAAAUGCGUAGAUAUUAGGAAGAACACCAGUGGCGAAGGCGGCUUACUGGACAGUAACUGACGUUGAGGCUCGAAAGCGUGNGGAGCAAACAGGAUUAGAUACCCUGGNAGUCCACGCCGU
rnacentral:rRNA from 1 species